rnacentral:rRNA from 1 species
GAUGAACGCUGGCGGCGUGCCUAAUACAUGCAAGUCGAGCGAACGGACGAGAAGCUUGCUUCUCUGAUUUUAUCGGCGGACGGGUGAGUAACACGUGGAUAACCUACCUAUAAGACUGGGAUAACUUCGGGAAACCGGAGCUAAUACCGGAUGAUAUUUUGAACCUCAUGGUUCACAAGUUAAAGACGGUCUUGCUGUCACUUAUAGAUGGAUCCGCGCUGCAUUAGCUAGUUGGUAAGGUAACGGCUUACCAAGGCAACGAUGCAUAGCCGACCUGAGAGGGUGAUCGGCCACACUGGAACUGAGACACGGUCCAGACUCCGACGGGAGGCAGCAGUAGGGAAUCUUCCGCAAUGGGCGAAAGCCUGACGUAGCAACGCCGCGUGAGUGAUGAAGGUCUUCGGAUCGUAAAACUCUGUUAUUAGGGAAGAACAUAUGUGUAAGUAACUGUGCACAUCUUGACGGUACCUAAUCAGAAAGCCACGGCUAACUACGUG